rnacentral:lncRNA from 1 species
CAGGUGUGAUCUCCUCCUAAGCUCAACACGGGUCCCCUGGCCCGCGCUCCUGAUUCUGUGCUGAUCUGCGGUGUCACCCACGGGUUUACCCUCAUUUCGGACAGAGCCUCCUACUUGUCUCCACUUAGAGGCGCCUUAUCCUCUCCGUCACUUCCUCGUGAAUUUUGGAAAGCAAGCUGUCAACUCUGAAUCAACAGCAAGAGAAGACGAAGACGCUGACAUUCAGUGGAGUUUCCUAGAGUCAAGAAAACAUUGUGAAUGGCCAUCCCCAGGAGGCGGGCAGAUAAGGAAGAUGCCUGCUGGCCAGGGGUCUGAAAGGCCUCCUGUUUCUGCAGUUGGGGUUGGCUACUUGGACUGCAGGAUGGGGUCAGACUUCUGUCUCUAUAGAAGGCCUGGUCAGUGUCCAUUUGUCCAGACCCUCAGGAAGGCAAGUGGGGCAGCUGCCGUCUGCUCUCAGCCCUCUUCCUCAGAAUCCCAGGGUCCCCACACCCUCUCCCUGGACUCCCGCUCUGCCCUGGCUCCCAGGGGAGGAGAGCACUGCACACCUGCAGCCUGCCCCUCUGCGGAUGCCCAGGACUCAGCUACAGGUUGCCCCUGCUUGCUGACAGGAGCGAGCGUCUACCAGGGAUGACCCGGCUCCUGAGCAGAGGCUGUCAGCCCUGGGCCUGAGCAGCUCAGUCUGCUCUCUCGGGGGUGAGGUGGGAGAGGUUGCUGCCUCCCUCAGGUCUGUGGACCUGCCUUCUGUCCCUCUGGCCCUCCACCUGCCUGGAGCCAGCACCACACAGGCAGACUGUCUACCCAGGUGAGUUCCUUUCUUGAAGGUCCACACUGUGCAGAGGGCAAGUACAGUGUCCUGGAGUCUGGGCAAGGCUGCAGUCUGCAGGGGUGUCCUCCCUUCUGGGGCCCAGGAGCAGCAGGGGCUGAGUGCACACAGUGGGAGGCUGAGGCUGGCUGGAGGGAGCCCAUGGUAGAUGCCCCUGAGCCCCCUUCCCAGGCUCUUGCCCACGGUUGACGGUGCUUCCUCCCAGCAAGCCCCUGACUGUCCCAGAACUCACCAGCUCUCCAUUUCCCAGGGCAGUCUCAGGGUGCUCACUGGGAAGCUGUCACUUCUCCCAGAAUGUAGAGAGAAUGGUGAGGACCAUUUCCACAGAGUUGAGGACAUUCACGGAAUGUGCAUAUUGACAUCUAUGACUCUGGGUUUAGAGGGAGAUGACAGUUUCUUUCUCUGUUGGAUGCACAAGUGCCGGUGGCAGAGCAAGACGCUAUUUUUCUUUCUCAGAGGACAGGAGCAAUAGGAGGCCAUUCUCAUAAUUGUGUGCAUAAGAAGCAGAAAAAUCAGAUACCUGUGGUUUCCAUUUCAGAAGAUCCUGCUGAGGUCUCUCUGACCAGUGAAUUCACCCAAUGUCACCCAGACCUCAGCACCCACAUCUCUGCUGUUUCCAUAGUCCCUCU